GAUGAACGUUGGCGGCGUGCCUAAUACAUGCAAGUCGAACGAGGACUGUAGUAAUACUGUCUUAGUGGCGAACGGGUGAGUAACGCGUGGGUGACCUGCCCCGAAGUGUGGGAUAACAGUCCGAAAGGAUUGCUAAUACUGCAUAAUAUCCAAGAGAUUAGAUGCUUUUGGAUUAAAGGAGUAAUUCGCUUCGGGAGGGGCCCGCGUCCCAUCAGCUAGUUGGUAAGGUAAUGGCUUACCAAGGCGAUGACGGGUAGGGGACCUGAGAGGGUGGCCCCCCACAAUGGAACUGAAACACGGUCCAUACACCUACGGGUGGCAGCAGUAGGGAAUAUUAGUAAUGGGCGAAAGCCUGAACUAGCAACGCCGCGUGUGCGAAGAAGGCCUUCGGGUCGUAAAGCACUUUUUGAGAGGAUGAGGAAGGACGGUACUCUCAGAAUAAGUCUCGGCUAACUACGUG
rnacentral:rRNA from 1 species